rnacentral:rRNA from 1 species
CCUACGGGAGGCUGCAGUGGGGAAUAUUGCACAAUGGGGGAAACCCUGAUGCAGCGACGCCGCGUGAGUGAAGAAGUAUUUCGGUAUGUAAAGCUCUAUCAGCAGGGAAGAAAAAAGACGGUACCUGACUAAGAAGCCCCGUCUAACUACGGGCCAGCAGCCGCGGUACUACGGAGGGGGCAAGCGUUAUCCGGAUUUACUGGGUGUAAAGGGAGCGUAGACGGCGCGGCAAGUCUGAAGUGAAAGGCAGGGGGUUAACCCCUGAACUGCUUUGGAAACUGCCAUGCUAGAGUGCUGGAGAGGUAGGUGGAAUUCCUGGUGUAGCGGUGAAAUGCGUAGAUAUUAGGAGGAACACCAGUGGCGAAGGCGGCUUACUGGACAGUAACUGACGUUGAGGCUCGAAAGCGUGGGGAGCGAACAGGAUUAGAUACCCGAGUAGUC